GUGGCUUCUGGAGUCUUCUAGAUGGUAGAAAAUUGCGCGGUGUGUUGAUAUCUCUAUGUAAUCCCGACAUGUGGGCCUUUCUUCCUUAUUUCCUGAUAACCCCCUGCAGAAACAGAUAAACGACAAAACUCGUGGAAUUCUGUCAGAUCAAACCCUAAUUCUAGGUGUUGUUUGUAUAUUGGUCCUUUCUCUUGUUUAUUUGAUAAUUAAAAUUGAUACUUAGGAACCGUCAACAAAUACCCCCAUACUUAGGCUUUUACUUGUCCUCGAGAAAAGGAUGGUUAAGAACAAUAUCUGGGGUAAAACAUUUUAAAACAUUCCUUUCAUAACUGCAGGGUAUUAAAAUCCACUGUAUAUAGUCAGGGAAGUAUAUGGUUAAGAGUAGAGAUCCUUUCUUCUCAAUCCUGUCACUUGGAGUUUUUGUAUAUUUUUGAAAGAAAGUUAACAUACCUUUUAUCCUCAUAGGUCUUCUCAGAUCACUCAUUAUCUUUUAUAUAUCUCACUGAUGCUGUUUUAAUUUGCAAAAAUUUUCAAGCAUACUUACUUUGCAUUUAUUGCCUGAUCAAAACGGGAUCCGAGGAGGGGAAUGUCAUACUCUUAGAUCAAAGACUUUGGAAAUUAAAAUCUUUGUCAACUCUUGCUGGCAUAUUGCUUAUUAGAGGGACCAUGGGCUAUCAUUUUCUUCUUUUCUCUUCUCUUUUUUUUAAGUGGAUACCGAGGUAUCCCUAAUUCUACUGUCGGACAGUUGUCCAUUUUUUCUGCGAGGUUAUCGAGCACUUGCUCCUUUUUAUUUCCUCGAAAUAUCUUUAUUUUUGCAUAGCCCAUGCCUAUAGUGCAAUAAUACUUCGGAAGAGUGAAUCUUUCUGAAUAAAUGUCUUGAUCUGAGGAGCAUGAUAAAUCUCUCAACAAGGGUCUAACUCAUUUUGAACAAACUCAAUACAGAGUAGAUAGCUUUUAUAAUCAUAAUUAAUAUUUUCAGUUUUAUCAGGCAUAUAAAACACUGAGGAUGGUAGCUAGAAUUUUGAAGAUUUUGAAAUAAAUUCUCCAAGUAACAAUGAUAUCA
rnacentral:lncRNA from 1 species